rnacentral:tRNA from 1 species
GGCGCAGGAGGGAGCCGGUCAGUUGUCUGCAAAACCUCCAUCCCCGGUUCAAAUCCGGGCGGCGCCUCCA